UACAGAGGUCUCAAGCGUUGUUCGGAUUCAUUGGGCGUAAAGGGUGCGUAGGCGGCGCGGUAAGUCGGGUGUGAAAUCUCGGAGCUUAACUCCGAAACUGCAUUCGAGACUGCCGUGCUUGAGGACUGGAGAGGAGACUGGAAUUUACGGUGUAGCGGUGAAAUGCGUAGAUAUCGUAAGGAAGACCAGUGGCGAAGGCGGGUCUCUGGACAGGUCCUGACGCUGAGGCACGAAGGUCAGGGGAGCAAACGGG
rnacentral:rRNA from 1 species